UACAGGCUUUACAAGUGGGAUCAUUAGAGAUCCUCGUGUUAUGAAGGUGAUAGCUCAAUCGACAGUGUCCUAUCAAGAAUCCCACCACCCUUCUCAACUGUGCUCUAGUAAGUUUCAGACAAGCACAGUCGAAUGGCCUAGCUGUGGGUAUACACAGUUUGGCCUACCGCAUGCCCUCGUAGUAGUGGUAG